GACGAGCGCUGGCGGCGUGCUUAACACAUGCAAGUCGAACGGAAAGGCCCUGCUUUUGUGGGGUGCUCGAGUGGCGAACGGGUGAGUAACACGUGAGUAACCUGCCCUUGACUUUGGGAUAACUUCAGGAAACUGGGGCUAAUACCGGAUAGGGGCUCCUGCUGCAUGGUGGGGGUUGGAAAGUCUCGGCGGUUGGGGAUGGACUCGCGGCUUAUCAGCUUGUUGGUGGGGUAGUGGCUUACCAAGGCUUUGACGGGUAGCCGGCCUGAGAGGGUGACCGGCCACAUUGGGACUGAGAUACGGCCCAGACUCCUACGGGAGGCAGCAGUGGGGAAUAUUGCACAAUGGGCGGAAGCCUGAUGCAGCAACGCCGCGUGCGGGAUGACGGCCUUCGGGUUGUAAACCGCUUUCGCCUGUGACGAAGCGUGAGUGACGGUAAUGGGUAAAGAAGCACCGGCUAACUACGUG
rnacentral:rRNA from 1 species